rnacentral:rRNA from 1 species
GACGAACGCUGGCGGCGUGCUUAACACAUGCAAGUCGAACGGAAAGGCCCUGCUUUUGUUGGGUGCUCGAGUGGCGAACGGGUGAGUAACACGUGAGUAACCUGCCCUUGACUUUGGGAUAACUUCAGGAAACUCGGGCUAAUACCGGAUAGGAUCUCCUGCUGCAUGGUGGGGGUUGGAAAGUUUCGGCGGUUGGGGAUGGACUCGCGGCUUAUCAGCUUGUUGGUGGGUAGUGGCUUACCAAGGCUUUGACGGGUAGCCGGCCUGAGAGGGUGACCGGCCACAUUGGGACUGAGAUACGGCCCAGAAUCCUACGGGAGGCAGCAGUGGGGAAUAUUGCAGAAUGGGCGGAAGCCUGAUGCAGCAACGCCGCGUGCGGGAUGACGGCCUUCGGGUUGUAAACCGCUUUCGCCUGUGACGAAGCGUGAGUGACGGUAAUGGGUAAAGAAGCACCGGCUAACUACGUG